GAAAAAUAAUCGCCAGUUAACAUCAACAGGUGGGGGUGGAUGAGAAAAUGAAACGGAGGUUUAGAACGCCGGGCGGUUUUCCCAAGAGACCAAAACCAAGAAGGGAAAUGCGGUAUUUGGUGCAGGUCUGCCCCCUAUGGACCAGAUUCUCAAUUGCCGGGGUUAACUGAAGGGCUCUGACUGCUGUGAUCUCGAUGCCACCCUCGCCCCUUGCCCCUUUCUACUGCCACCUGAUGCCACCCCCCAGGUAAGGCAGCCUCAGGGACUUUCUCCUUUGCUGGCUCCCUUGGCUUGGAAUGUGACCUGGGGACUCAGCCACGUACCCGCUGCAGUGAAACUUUUAGACCCGGAAAGAGGAAGUUUUAAGAGACAAGCUUUCCUUUCCUGUCUGGGAGCAGUGUGUAUUUCUAGCCCAUACUGACAUGUAGCCGGGCAGUUUCCAUUUUGGUCACGUUAGAUCAAUGAUGAGCCACAAGAUGUCCAGAAUUGUCUCCCCACGUUGUGAAAUAGCGCAAUGCUUUGUCUGCCUACGGAUUCUGAUGUCCGGUUAUGAUUGAGCCAAAGACACUGGCCUAAAAGACCAAUUACGAGAACUCCUUUGGAAAUGGCCUGUCUUACUAGCCCGAUUCCUGCCUGAUCACCAGUGGCCCUGGGCUCUCUUUCGACAUACCUGGCACAGGAUGGAACGGACAAGCCCAUUUGGGUACCAGAGCGAUAUGUUCGGGCUGUGGAAAAUGAUGAGAAAGGAUCCUGUGAUGAGCCUGAGAAUGACACCUGUCAUUUUCUUGAGCCUCCUGGUGAGUCCCAAUCAAGCGGAAAGCACUGUGUGAAGCCCGGUAAGGAACCCCCUUGUAUUGAUCAGUGAGCCAAGCUAGUUCUUUGUAUUCAUCUAUUCAUCUUUUUAUUCCUCCAACUAUACAGCUGGAACUGCUUUAAGCAAUAUGGCGAUAGAACAGGCUUCUAUUAAUCAAACCUUUUCCUUUGCGAAUGCUUUAUGCUUUGUUACAUUUUUUGGGCUACGAAUAUUACUUUAAAGGAAUCCUAUACAAGGGAGUGUAGUUCCUAUCUUUCUUUUUUGGAAUAUUUCUCUGAGAGCCCAGGCACUAUUAAAUCCCGUGUUUUAGUUUUCUUUCUUUUUUCUUUUCCUUUUUGUAGUAUGGAAUAGCACCUUUGGGGGAAAAGAUAUUCUUGGUUGUUCUUUCAGGAACUGUGGCCUGAGCGUCUGCUGGGAUGACCACUCCAGUGCUGCCUUGUUGGUUCGGGUACCAGUCAUCAUACCACUGCCAGUUACCAAAAAGGCUAAGCAGACUGAGACGACCCUGUAUUGAGAGAAACGAGAUUCUGGAGAGACAGCUGCAGUGGUUGCUGUCAUCGCGGCGUCUGCUGCUGCAGCCAUGGUCGCAGGACCGGCAAUGGCACAAACAUCAUUGGUGUCGGACACCGUGGAUAAACUGGCGAGACAAGUCAACGAUGCUCUCCAGACUCAGAAUGUCCUGAAUGUCCACACUAAAUUUGGACUUUCAAAUUUAAAUCAAGAGACUGCCCUAUUGUAGGAGCAGGUGGACUUAUGGCUAGUACAACAAAUAUCCUGUUCACACUUUUAUCAUUC